CCAAUAGCGUAUAUUAAAGUUGUUGCAGUUAAAAAGCUCGUAGUUGAAUUUCGGGAUCAAUAUGUUGGUCGUGCCUUGGUACGUACUAUCUUAUUGAUUUCUCCCUUCUGACGAACCAUGAUGUCAUUAAUUUGAUGUCAUGGGGAAUCAGGACUGUUACUUUGAAAAAAUUAGAGUGUUUAAAGCAGGCUCACGCUUGAAUAUAUUAGCAUGGAAUAAUGAAAUAGGACGUUUGAUUCUAUUUUGUUGGUUUUAGGAUCGAUGUAAUGAUUAAUAGGGAUAGUUGGGGGCAUUAGUAUUCAAUUGUCAGAGGUGAAAUUCUUGGAUUUAUUGAAGACUAACUACUGCGAAAGCAUUUGCCAAGGAUGUUUUCAUUAAUCAAGAACGAAAGUUAGGGGAUCGAAGACGAUCAGAUACCGUCGUAGUCUUAACCAUAAACUAUGCCGACUAGGGAUCGGAUGAUGUUAAUUUUUUAAUGACUCAUUCGGCGCCUUACG
rnacentral:rRNA from 1 species